AGUCAUAUUGGGCGUAAGGGCUCGCAGGCGGUUUCUUAAGUCUGAUGUGAAAGCCCCCGGCUCAACCGGGGAGGGUCAUUGGAAACUGGGAAACUUGAGUGCAGAAGAGGAGAGUGGAAUUCCACGUGUAGCGGUGAAAUGCGUAGAGAUGUGGAGGAACACCAGUGGCGAAGGCGACUCUCUGGUCUGUAACUGACGCUGAGGAGCGAAAGCGUGGGGAGCGAACAGGAUUAGAUACCCUGGUAGUCCACGCCGUAAACGAUGAGUGCUAAGUGUUAGGGGGUUUCCGCCCCUUAGUGCUGCAGCUAACGCAUUAAGCACUCCGCCUGGGGAGUACGGUCGCAAGACUGAAACUCAAAGGAAUUGACGGGGGCCCGCACAAGCGGUGGAGCAUGUGGUUUAAUUCGAAGCAACGCGAAGAACCUUACCAGGUCUUGACAUCCUCUGACAACCCUAGAGAUAGGGCUUUCCCUUCGGGGACAGAGUGACAGGUGGUGCAUGGUUGUCGUCAGCUCGUGUCGUGAGAUGUUGGGUUAAGUCCCGCAACGAGCGCAACCCUUGAUCUUAGUUGCCAGCAUUCAGUUGGGCACUCUAAGGUGACUGCCGGUGACAAACCGGAGGAAGGUGGGGAUGACGUCAAAUCAUCAUGCCCCUUAUGACCUGGGCUACACACGUGCUACAAUGGACAGAACAAAGGGCUGCAAGACCGCAAGGGUUUAGCCAAUCCCAUAAAUCUGUUCUCAGUUCGGAUCGCAGUCUGCAACUCGACUGCGUGAAGCUGGAAUCGCUAGUAAU
rnacentral:rRNA from 1 species